rnacentral:tRNA from 1 species
CACAUUGGUGGUUAAGUGGUAGAAUUCUUGCCUGCCAUGUGAGAGGCCUGAGUUUGAUUCGCAUCCAAUUGA